GGACGAACGCUGGCGGCGUGCCUAACACAUGCAAGUCGAGCGGGGACGAUGCGACGGACCUGAAGUUUCGGAUGGAUGGGAAGGAUGUAUUGUUCUAGCGGCGGACGGGUGAGUAACGCGUGAGCAACCUGUCCCUUACAGGGGGAUAACACAGCGAAAGUCGUACUAAUACCGCAUAAGACCACAGUGAGACAUCUCACAGGGGUCAAAGGAGCAAUCCGGUAAGGGGUGGGCUCGCGUCCGAUUAGAUAGUUGGUGAGGUAACGGCCCCACCAAGUCGACGAUCGGUAGCCGACCUGAGAGGGUGAUCGGCCACAUUGGGACUGAGACACGGCCCAAACUCCUACGGGAGGCAGCAGUGGGGAAUAUUGGGCAAGUGGGGGGAACCCUGAACCCCAGCAACGCCGCGUGAAGGAAGAAGGUCUUCGGAUUGUAACUUCUUUUAUGAGGGACGAAGGACGUGACGGUACCUCAUGAAUAAGCCACGGCUAACUACGUGCCAGCCGCUGC
rnacentral:rRNA from 1 species